rnacentral:rRNA from 1 species
AUCACCUCCCUANAGUUUGAUCCUGGCUCAGGACGAACGCUGGCGGCGUGCUUAACACAUGCAAGUCGAACGAUGAAGCCCUUCGGGGUGGAUUAGUGGCGAACGGGUGAGUAACACGUGGGCAAUCUGCCCUUCACUCUGGGACAAGCCCUGGAAACGGGGUCUAAUACCGGAUAACACUCUGUCCCUCAUGGGGCGGGGUUAAAAGCUCCGGCGGUGAAGGAUGAGCCCGCGGCCUAUCAGCUUGUUGGUGGGGUAAUGGCCUACCAAGGCGACGACGGGUAGCCGGCCUGAGAGGGCGACCGGCCACACUGGGACUGAGACACGGCCCAGACUCCUACGGGAGGCAGCAGUGGGGAAUAUUGCACAAUGGGCGAAAGCCUGAUGCAGCGACGCCGCGUGAGGGAUGACGGCCUUCGGGUUGUAAACCUCUUUCAGCAGGGAAGAAGCGAAAUGAC